CUACGGAGGAUGCGAGCGUUAUCCGGAUUUAUUGGGUUUAAAGGGUGCGUAGGCGGAGGGUCAAGCAGGGGGUGAAAUGCCGGUGCUCAACACCGGAGCUGCCUUCUGAACUGGCCCUCUGGAGUGGCAGUGCCGUUGGAGGAAUGAGUGGUGUAGCGGUGAAAUGCUUAGAUAUCACUCAGAACACCGAUUGCGAAGGCAUCUGACGAACUGCCCACUGACGCUGAGGCACGAAAGCGUGGGGAUCAAACAGGAUUAGAUACCCUGGUAGUCCACGCCGUAAACGAUGAUGACUAACUGCCGGGCAUAUUUGUUCGGCGGCCAAGCGAAAGCGAUAAGUCAUCCACCUGGGGAGUACGACCGCAAGGUUGAAACUCAAAUGAAUUGACGGGG
rnacentral:rRNA from 1 species